CCGCGCACAUGCACGCAUUUCAGUUGAGAUCUUCAUUUGGCAAAUGGCUUGUGACUAAAAUCCAUAUGACUAAUACGAGUUAUCUGUCCCAGUGACCAACCUCUUCAUUGGGAACCAAUGUAUUACAUUCCAAAGACUCCCAAGUAACGUGUGUGUGUGUGUGUGUGGUUGGAGAAUGUCAACUUUCGUGUGAUGUGAGGAACCAUUAGAUAGUGGCUAGCCCGUGUUAAACAAAUAGCUUUAAUUCUAACUUCACGGCCAAGUCUCGUUGUGUGUGUGUGUGUGUGUGUGUGUGUGUGUGUGAGUACUACAAUGUCCCCCCGAUGUCACUCUGCUGUACAAGACACAUUUCAACAAUCGCGGUCCAUUUCUACACGUGUGCAGUUUGAACACUGCGGACUGACGCUCUCGCGGCGCGCUAACCAGCUAAAGGUGUUUAUCGCAACUUGCAGCGAUGCCGGGCUGCUUGCUGUCAACAAGUGACACGGUCAAUUUGUGCUUUUUACUGUACAGAAGAGUGUGCGUGCGCGCGUCCAUUUAUGCACUAGUUGAAAUCACGGUGCUAUGACGGACCUCAUCAGGGACCUGUUUUUGUGUGAACGUGUGAGGAAGAGAGCGCGCCUUUCUCUCUUAUCGGGCUUAUUAAGGGAAUCUGCUUUUCAAAUGAGAUUUUAGUGGUUCGCUGUGGUCACAUUUUCAAAUGAACUGUUCGCGUCUUUCGUUACAGAGAUGUGAACGGCGUCGCCAUUGAUUGUGCGAGGGGCGUACGCGUAUCAUGAUGAUGAUUUUGCAGCCUGAAAACAUUUCCUCAGAUGAGAACGGUUCAGAUUGUCUUUUUCAUUUCAUCAAGUCGGUGCGAGGUUUUUAAAAAUUUUAUUUUUCAUGGAGGUGCAUGCUUCUGGCUCGUUUUUAUUUAUUUAGGCUUUCCAAAAAAAACACAAAAAAAACCUUUCGUACAGCUGUAUGUUGAGGGGAGGUUCCCUCGCCUUGUCUUUGAUCAGUUGCACAGUAGCACAUCUCCCCCGAGAGCCAAUGAUGUGACGCUGGUCUCCUCUUUUUGAAGAGGUACGGAUGAAUGAGAGAAAGAAAAGAAGGGUCCAUUUUUAAGUUCAGCCACUUUUGCCAUUUCAAAAAGAAAAGCGAAAAAAUACAAGAAAGAAUUGAUUUAAAGAUGGUUGGGUGUCUGUUAAUAUUAACAUAAGUCCACACCUGUCCGGUCCCCCGGAUCCCUUUACGGUUUCAAACACCUCACACGCAUCUCCCUCUGCGUCCCGCGUUUAUACUGACCUCACUUCAAAUUACCCGUCCCUAGUAAUUGUGAAAAGUUUUACCUCGAGCAGGCUGAAUCUGGUUAACGGGACCCCCAAGAAUACAGUCCUACGAGUCCUACUCGUGGUUUAGAAGUCGUAUCUAAGGGUCCAAAGUCGCCGAGAUGUAAACAACUCUUUCCAAAUGACUGCAGACACGAGCCUUCGUGGUUUUGAAUUUUUUUGUAAACAGGAUGGGAGACUUUUCCGGAACUACAUUAUUGUGCUGCCUCUGGACAUGACAUCCUGUUAUCACAUUUCAACUACUAUCUGGCUCCACUUUGCACUACAUUUAGUCGUGGAUGGUUGCUGUGAGGAGUGGUCACAGACAGGGUGCUCAAAUAAUGAUACAAUCUGAUGAGAAUUAAUGAAAAACUGCUGUGCUGAGCAGUUAUUUCAUAGUGGGAGAUGCUGAGUACAGACAAAUCCGUAUGACUCAUCUAAAAGAAUAACUAAAUUAAAACAGGGGUUGUACAUGAUGACUAAAGAUGCCAUUACAUGAUGUAAAUGUCCAUCAUUUCCUUGUUUUCUUUCUUGCAUUUAUUUUCUUUGGUUAUGAAUAUGGUUAAUAAGAUGUAAGAAUACUGUAGUAUCAUAAGUGGAUCAUUCUUCCUUGCUAGGCUUAGAACUUGCUUGUGAUUGAUAAUGGAAAUGUAUAACUUGUAAAAAAAAAAAA
ensembl:lncRNA